GCGGCGCCUCCCUCCGCAGCAAGUUAGUUCAAGCUUCGAAACUCUUGCCUACUGCGCGCACUUCUAACAGUCCCCAGGGCCCUGAAAGGUUCUCCGUGGGCUGUCCCCACCCUGCCCCAGAGUUCUUCCCUUUUCCCCUGCUGGGAGGAAAGAAAAAGAAUGUGAAGGUCACUCAGUCGUGUCCGACUCUUUGCGACCCCAUGAACUGUACAGUCCAUGGAACUCUCAGGCCAGAAUCCUGGGUGAAGGUCAGGGACAGGAAGCCUGGCGUGCUGCAGUCCCAGGGUCGCAAAGAGUCGGACACGACUGAGCCACUGAACAACAAAACGAGAUCAACUAGAGCCAAGGAAAUUUCGGACAGGGCUGCGUCUGGCAGGUCCGAGGUCAAAGCCAGUCACUGUCGCCGGCUGGGAACUAAGCCCCUGGUCCCGGAGGCGGAGGAGAGAGGCGCAGAGAUUAGACAAGAACUCGCUCUCCAAAGCCAGGCUGCAUAGGCAAGGAGCGGAGAGUUCUUGGAUCCAGAAAAAGAAGCAGGGAUGCGGGGUAGGAAGCAACAGGAAAGUGAGAAGAGAGAGAAAACAAGCUCCCGUAAGCAAAGUUCCUUGGGGUACCCAGGCUACAACACCUGGGCAGGGGUCAGGAACAAAGCAGCCCUCUCAGGUCAGAAGUGCUCUACGUGUUUCCGAAGCAGGGGUGUUCAGGGCAGGCCACGGCCCCCCUGGGGAUGCCAGGCGCCCCUACACCCUGAGCGCGCUCAACCGCAACGCUUACCUUCGCCCGAGCCGCCAACGCGCACUUCCGGGGUCCUGGCUCCGGGUGCUGGGGGCGGAGCCGGGGGACCAGGAGCCGAUCACUAAGAGGAGGACGCAACAAAGCUGUGGCCAAGGUUUGGGCUGGCACUGGCGAUUCGGAAAGGAACCCCAGUGGAGACCUGUGGGCACGGGGUCCCGGCCUGGGCGAUCACGGGCGGCGGUGGUAACCCCAGCAGACGCAGCAGGACCACGAUUCUGUGGGAGGAAAAGUUUCUCAGAGCUAUGUGUUGCUGUCUCCUGGCUGCAGUCCUCCUUUUACUGAACAUAAAACUUGCAACUCUCACAUUGUGCCUUUAAGUUGACAAGCUACAGAGAACAGUGGGCUGGCAUUGACAAGAACUAGUGACCAAGAGCUGAUAGGGUACAGAUGAGUGUGUGAAGUAAAGAGGCAAUUUCCAGGCUUCUGGCUGGACAAACUGGUGACCAGUGGAUGACCAGAAUCCAGAGCACCUUCUGGGGAUGUGAUUUCAAGUGUGAUCUGGGGACUGGCAUUAUUAACAUGAACUGAGAGUUUGUUGCAAAUGGGAACUUUGCAGCCCCAUUUGACCUACUGAAUCAGAAUCUGAGUUUUAACAAGAUCCCAGAUAAUUCAAAUGUGCAUUAGAAUUUCAGAAGCACUAAUCUCUAGACCACUGACUGUGUAUAAGAGUGACUGGAUAUUAGACUGUGGAGCUUUUUAAUUAGAAACACCUGGAGAGCUUUAAAAACCAAUAUGAGGCCCCCAGACCCCUGCUCCCACAAAUGUUUAUUUAGUUGGUCUGUGUUGGAGAUCCAAAAUCAGUGUUUUAAAAAUGCUUUUCAGAUGAUCUAAUACAGUCAGAGUUAAAAAGCACUGUUCUAGACUUAUUCAAAUGCUACUUCAUUUAACCUUGAAGGGCACCUCUUCAGAAAGAAAAGAACACCUAUGUGUAAAUGACAAUGUAAAGACCAAUUAUCUCACCCUUGUACAGAGGCAACCGGUCUGCUGGAAAGCGCCCUUGUUUCCUAAACUAAUCAGGGAAUCAGAUUCUAGCCUCAGAUGGCCUCUGAAGUACUGUUCCAAACUUGGGGCCUCAGGCCUCUCAGGCUUCAGUUUCUUAUCUGUAAAACACACAGAUGACUAACUCUAGAUUUCAUACCUUGGCUUGAAAGGUGCCAUGAUCAGAGCUCUUUCUAACUUGCUAGCUUUAUCAGCAGGCAAAUGGGAAAGUGAUGUUCAGAGGUGGGUUUUCCUGAUAAAACACUCUGUGUGCAACUGCCAUUCAUAAGCACCAGAGAUCAGAAAAUUAUGUGCUGAGCAAGGGCAACACACAUAAGUGAUGCUCAGUAAAUGUGUACUAAAUGUAUAAAUAAAUACAUGAAUAAAUAAAUAUCAUUCAUAAUGGUGGCAUAGACUUUCCAUGAAUUGGCCCUAACCCAGAGCAUAUUCACUUGCUUCCUAAUCUAGAGGAAGGACUCUGGAAUCUGGAAGCCCUUUGACCCAUAAACCUAGCUUAGGAUUUAAAACUAUUUCCUGGUGGCUCAGCAGUAAAGAAUCCACUGGCCAAUGCAGGAGAUGCGGAUUCAGUCCCUGGGUGGGGAAGAUCCCCUGGAGAAAGAAGAGGCAACCCACUCCAAUAUUCUUGCCUGGGAAGUCCCAUGGAAAGAGGAGCCUUGUGAACUACAGUCCAUGGGGUCGCAGAGUCAGACACAACUUAGCAACUAAAAAACAACAAAAAUAAAACCUUUGUUGAAUGCUUAGUACACACCAGGCAUUGAGCUAAAUGCUCUGCUUAGGAUAACCUCAUUUUGUUAUAAGGAAGAAGAUACUGUUGAACUUCUACAGCACAAUUAGUUUCAGGAAUCAUAGAUAUAAAGGGAUGAGGGCAGCCCCUAGGGCAGCAUCCAGGGCAGCCCCUGCCUCUGGUUGUGCAACUGGGCAUAUAUGGCCAGAGAGCCCUCUUGGGGUCUUAGGGUCACUCUCCAAGAGCAUGCUUCCAUUGAGACCAACCUGAGGGAAGGGGUUUGGAGUGACUGCUCCAGGGCCCCAUAGGAACUGAUGCUCCCAGCAGCUAUCUCAAGAGAUCUCUGGACUGUAUGGUUAAGCCUUGGAAAGGGACUCUUCAAAGCUUGCACCUGUUUGAACUUACUGUCUUGCUUACUUACCAAAGCCAAACCCUGCCACAGUUCUUUUCACAUAUAUUUUUCCUAACCCUUACAGCAUCCUGACAUGUUAAGUACUCUUGUUUUCAUGUUUUAUAAGUGAGAAAACUGAGAUGUCAUUAAAUGAAGAUUUGUUUGUCCCUGCAAUCCAAGUUUCUCAAGUGGUACACUUGACCACCAUCAUUGUUCACAUUGAUCACCACCCUUUUACCCCCACACCACCAUUUUGAUAGAAACAAGAGUUCUUAUUUCAGAUCCCAUUCACUUGUCACAGUUAUACUUCAUCAAAACUCUCUGUCCCCCUUUUUCCCAUAAGUAAAAUAAGUUGUCCUUGAUUGCCUGUCUACCAAGACACUAUGCAUGGCGUGGGGCUUCCUCUGUGGCUCAGCAGUUAAGAAUCCACCUACAAUGCAGGAGACAUAACAGGUACAGGUUCAAUCCUUGGGUCAGGAAGAUCUCUAGAGGAGGGCAUGGCAACCCACUCCAGUAUUCUUACCUGGGAAAUCCCAUGGACAGAGGAGCCUGGUAAGUUAUAGUCCAUAGGGUCGCAGAGUCAGACACAACUUAGCAACUAAAAACAACAAAAAUAAAACCUUUGUUGAAUGCUUAGUACACACCAGGCAUUGAGCUAAAUGCUCUGCUUAGGAUAACCUCAUUUUGUU
ensembl:lncRNA